GAUGAACGCUGGCGGCGUGCCUAAUACAUGCAAGUCGAGCGAACAGAUGAGGAGCUUGCUCCUCUGACGUUAGCGGCGGACGGGUGAGUAACACGUGGAUAACCUACCUAUAAGACUGGGAUAACUUCGGGAAACCGGAGCUAAUACCGGAUAGUAUAUUGAACCGCAUGGUUCAAUAGUGAAAGACGGUUUUGCUGUCACUUAUAGAUGGAUCCGCGCCGCAUUAGCUAGUUGGUAAGGUAACGGCUUACCAAGGCGACGAUGCGUAGCCGACCUGAGAGGGUGAUCGGCCACACUGGAACUGAGACACGGUCCAGACUCCUACGGGAGGCAGCAGUAGGGAAUCUUCCGCAAUGGGCGAAAGCCUGACGGAGCAACGCCGCGUGAGUGAUGAAGGUCUUCGGAUCGUAAAACUCUGUUAUUAGGGAAGAACAAAUGUGUAAGUAACUAUGCACGUCUUGACGGUACCUAAUCAGAAAGCCACGGCUAACUACGUG
rnacentral:rRNA from 1 species